rnacentral:rRNA from 1 species
ACCCAGACUCCUACGGGAGGCAGCAGUGAGGAAUAUUGGUCAAUGGGCGGGAGCCUGAACCAGCCAAGCCGCGUGAGGGAAGAAGGUACAGCGUAUCGUAAACCUCUUUUGUCAGGGAACAAAGGCGGGGACUAGUCCCCGGAUGAGGGUACCUGAAGAAAAAGCAUCGGCUAACUCCGUGCCAGCAGCCGCGGUAAUACGGAGGAUGCGAGCGUUAUCCGGAUUUAUUGGGUUUAAAGGGUGCGCAGGCGGCCUGUUAAGUCAGGGGUAAACGCCCGGGGCUCAACCCCGGCGAGCCGUUGAAACUGCAUCCCUUGAGUGCGCGAGAAGUAUGCGGAAUGCGUGGUGUAGCGGUGAAAUGCAUAGAUAUCACGCAGAACUCCGAUUGCGAAGGCAGCAUACCGGCGCCCGACUGACGCUGAGGCACGAAAGCGUGGGUAUCGAACAGGAUUAGAUACCCGGGUAC